UGCACGGCCCAUUAAAACACCAGCGGGAAAAUUUUUGUUGCACGGUGCAACUGAUUGUUGAGGACUGCCAUUGUUGAUCACGUUUGCCCUAAACCUGUUUCUCCGCUUUCUUGAACGGAGAUGGUCGAGGCCGAAGGUCAAGGUCCGGCUAUCAGAGCUCUCGGCCCUCUUUUCAAGAUCACCGAAGUUUUUCUAUGGGACGAUGGCUCAGCGGAGGCUGAAGGAUUAUGUUUCCAGGGACGCACUAAAGGAGCUCAGGAAGGUAGCAAUGACGAGGAUGAUGAGGAUUCAAACGUUUUUUCUACAACUCCAGAGUAUAGUCUUUUGCCAGAGGAUGAGGAACUAGCUCAACAGAUGAAUGCGCUGGGACUUCCACUCUCAUUCAACACAAACAGGGAGAAGAAGGGAAUGACUAAUGGCAAAAGAAAGGGUUUGCGGCAGAAACAUACAGGCAGCACUUGUCAAGACAAUCUGGGUGAGGUAGCAACUCAUAUUUGUCAACCAACCCUUCACAAUGAAAAUAAGCCACCAAGUUUAUCUGGGCUCUUUUCUGGUACCUUGAAAGAACAAGGUCAAGCUGGCAUGUUCGAUAUCUACUGUACUGAGAGCCAAGAUGUAGAAUCUGUACUCAGCACUGUUGUGAGCGAAGGCAACACGGAAGUAAAUUCAACCAAUUCUGAGACUGAACUUUCCUCGGUAAGCUUCUUGGCAGAUGCUAUUUCUGACCACAGUCAUAAAGAACUAGGUGAAAGAUUAGCGGAGUGUAACUUUUUGCAAACAUCAUCUCAUGAUUUCCAUAAAGCAGCAGGUGAAAUUAUUUGCAAAGGUGAUAUCACGGACCAGCCAGAGGUCUUUGAUUCAGCUACAUAUGAAAAUGUCAAGUAUGAAUGCUAUGGUGAAUUUGGAGAUUGGAUGGUAUAUUGGGAUUCGUACUAUUUAAGAAACUACUUUUAUAAUAUCAAAACACAGACUUCAACAUGGGAUCCACCAAAAGGAAUGGAACAUCUGGCAAUCUGUGACAUUAUGGAUAAGUCAAAUGAAUCAGUAGCUGAGUUAACUGGGAUGGAUGCUAAUCCUGAAAUAAAUGUGGCAGAUUUUUAUAUGUUGCAAAACAAAAUUGAUUCUGCUAAACAAACCAUGAAUAAUUUUGUAAUGCAUGAUGAGCUCUCUGAGGGUGGUGGAGUUACAGCUUGCAAUUCUGUGCCUGCUACGAAGGUGUCUAUUACUUUUAGCAAUAUUAAAGAUUCAGAAGAAUUUGAUGACACCAAUGGGACUUUAAAACAUGGAAGUAAGGAAUGGUUAUUCUCAGAUAGCCAGGAGCAUAUUAUAAGUUGUAUACAUUCAGGUGAUGUAGUUCCAGCUAUUCAGGUUUGUACCCAGCAUGGCACUUCUAUGGCAAAACGGAAAAAGAAAGUGAGAAGAACACGAAACCAGAAAAAAAUUUCUAAUGAAAUUAAAGAGCUUAAACUUCAGGAGCUGGUGGAGUUUUCUGAUGAUAUUGGCAAAUAUUGGUUGCAGAGAUAUUUAUUGUUUUCCAAAUAUGAUGAUGGUAUAAAAAUGGAUGUGGAGGGAUGGUUUUCAGUGACUCCAGAACCUAUAGCUAGACAUCAGGCCUUUCGUUGUGGUAAUGGCGUUAUAAUUGACUGUUUCACAGGUGUUGGAGGAAAUUCUAUCCAAUUCGCAAAGAGGAGCAAACAUGUAAUUGCAAUUGAUAUUGAUUCAAAGAAGAUUGAAUAUGCCCACCAUAAUGCUGUAGUCUAUGGAGUUGAAGACCGAAUAGAUUUCAUCAAAGGAGAUUUUUUUCUUUUGGCCCCAAUGUUGAAGGCAGAUACAGUCUUCUUGUCACCUCCAUGGGGUGGACCUGAUUAUGCUAAAGUAGAUUCAUAUGAUAUUAAGACAAUGCUUAAGCCACGUGAUGGAUAUUUUCUAUUUAACACUGCAAAGAAAAUUGCUCCCAAACUUGUCAUGUUUCUCCCAAAAAAUGUUGAUCUAAACCAAUUGGCAGAGCUGUCAUUAUUAGCCAAUCCGCCGUGGUCACUAGAGGUCGAGAAGAACUUUGUAAAUGGCAAGAUUAAGGCCAUAACAGCUUACUUCAGUGAUACAACAAUUACAAGAUGAUAAAUCAGUUGCACUCAUCUUUAUUGCUGAAAGAGAAGCGGUCCUUAACUUUUUGAGGAUAUGGAGCAGUUUUAGAAGUAGUGAUAUGGUAAAGGAAUGUAGAACUUGAGCGUUGAGUCGUUGACUACUAAGAAGAUGCAGCUUCAGCACUGUUGGUUGUAUGAUCCAACUGUUGAGAAAAAAGUAUGAUCCAACUGUUGAGAAAAAAAAAAUACAGAGAACUGAAAGUCUACCUCAGUCUCAGUAAGUUUGUAUUCCAUCUGUACACAUAAGGUAUCUAUUGUUAUUCUGUAGUUUACUGAAUUGUAAUCGUAGUUGGAUUAUCUAAUUUGAGUUAAUGCUUUUCCUAUAAUUUUUUAUUUUAGUGAAUCAUUGCUACUGAUUCCCAAGAAAUACUUGGGUGAAAAAGGAGAAACUUGACAGUUAAUCAGCAUAUGUUAUUGUUAUGGGGUGUAUUAGACACCACUAAUUUAUUUGAUUUGGUAAUCAGUACAACAAUCAUACUUGUAUAUUGGGAUUGCUGGAGCUGACUCAAGCUAGAACUGGGGUUCAUCUCAUAUAGGUUGAGGGCCAACCUAACCUGAACAAACACAGUUCUGCAUUAUCUAAUUUUGAUACGCUUUAGAUUGGAACCCUUUGUUGUCAAAUACCAAGGUAAACAAAAUCUGAUUCAUGCACUGACGUUUGUAGUUAAUGGCUGUUUCAGAUCCAUAAAUUCUGGUAUGUUACAAGGAUUAUUCUUAGCAGAACGUUGAAUUGGGCUAGUUUUGAAUAUAUACAUUUUUUU